GCCAACUUGCACUGACUACCGGCAGAGGACGCGCCGAUAGUGCCGAUAACUCGUAAUCGCGAAGCAGGUAUAAGUCGACCUCCUGUAAACGUCCAUCUCCGCGGAUAUAUUCACGUGCGUUUCCCUAGUAUUCUUGUGUCGUGCUUCGUGUGUAAAGUAUCGAAAGGUGUGCAAGGUGUGGCUGAUGACCGAUCCAUCUGUUCAUCAUUAAAAGAGAAAGAAUUUGGAGCAGAAAACAGGCGUCGGAUAGUACGCUCUCAUACAGCAGCAGGAAGAUGGCAAUCGCCUCGGCCAAGUGUCCCAAGGAGAGAAAACUGGAAGCCACGGCUCGGUGUUGGACAGCAAGACCGAUUUUAGGCUCAGAUCUCACGGACGAUCCGCCUCUUGAAGACGUCUAUGUGGGUCUACUUAAGCAGAAAAAGGACACCUCGACUGCUAUUAAAAGCAUUUCGUCCAUCUUGCCAGGUUUCCAUCACCUGAAACGCUGCUCAUCUAACAAACUACUCUUGGCGCCUUUAAAUAUGACAAACCUAGUGGAAGAAUCUAGCAAAGAACGUACUUUAACCUCAGACAAUCUGAAGACGAUAUUAAAGGAAAGAGGAUUCAACUUGAGCUUAUUAGAAGAUGACUUUCAAAUAUUGAGCGUACCAGCCAGAGCAGCAAGAACCAAAGUUCAAGCGGCACGGGCUUCAAAGAUCUGGCCCUUGAACUUUCACCCUGAUCCUAACAUUGAAUGUCUGGUCGAUGGAUCGAUUUUCACAGAACACCAAUUGGAUCUUAUAGAGGGAUACAUGAAUGUCGCGAUAGAGACAGCCAGGUUGGAAGCUGUCGGCGACUCGAAUUGUAACGGCAGUGCAUUGAUCGUUGAUCCAGAGGAUGGAAGGAUUCUUGCGGUUGCCGCCUCAAAAAUCGACCAACAUCCAAUGUGGCAUGCAGCUAUGUUAGCUGUAGAUCUUGUUGCUCGACUCCAAGGUGGUGGAGCUUGGAAAUGGGACGAAAAGUCGGGACAAAAUUCGGAUGAUUUACGUGUUUCUACUUCCAAUGAUCAAGAUGAAGCGAAAGAUGAUGUAACCAAAGAAAGAGGAAUCAAAAGGAAAUAUAUUGAAGAGGCUCCGCUUUAUUACCCGAAAUCGCUGUCCAAAAUUACUCUUCCACAGUUAGAAUCUUUGAAAUCCAUCAUACAUCGGCGAGGGCGGAAGAAUAAUGAUUCCACGAAGACAGUAGUUUCAGACAGAUCUGAUCAGACUGAAGCAACGAAUACUGAAAAAUGUGGUCCUUACUUAUGUACGGGAUACUGGACGUUCCUUUUCAAAGAACCUUGUCCUCUUUGCGCUAUGGCGCUACUGCAUUCUAGAGUUUCGAGGAUAUUUUACGGUGUACCUAAUCAGAGUGCAGGCGUUUUGGGCUCAAAGACAGUCUUGCACGCUACGCCGAGAUUGAAUCAUCGGUACCAAGUGUGGGGCGGUAUCCUGGAGCAAGAAUGUCGACAUGUAUUACAGGAAAUCGAGCACAGAAAUAUGGAUUGACUCAUUCUUCGUGUUCGUUGCAAUUAAUUUUCGUCUAAACGAUUCACGGAAUAUUAUGACCAUCGUAGAAAUGGAAGGGAAAAAAUCUUGUCUUGUUACAGAUCGUUUGUACUUUUCACAGAUAAACGUUACCGAAACACAGAGACGUUUGUAUUUCUGUCCAUGCACUUCAACAUGCAUGAUUCCUUUGACCCUUGGUAAUGACACCCACGAAAGAUUUGUCCCUGGCAUUGUCUCGAAGUAAGUUUAGCCGAGUCGCGAUGCUAUAACAUCAAUGUAACAACCGGUUUAUGAUUUCAAUCAAAAGCUGACGACGUAGAAGACGUUACACGUGGUUCGAACGUGCAUUCAUCCAUUACUAGGCAGAUAUAGGUACGACCUUGGUGUCUUAGUAUAAUUUGCAGGAAUAGAGAUCCGUACCCGUGCCGUGUACGCUGCUGCUGGUUCUUCGUUCACGCGAGGAGUUAACACUCGCAUCUAUUAUACAAUGACGCGUUCCCAACCGGCUGAUAGUAAAAAUCAUUUUCCUUAACAAUUUCGCGCCUGUAUCGUUCUAAUUAAACCUAAUUAGAUGUCGCAACAUGCCCUAACAAUAUAAAAAACGCGAAUCUAAUUUGUUCAACUGUUAGUAAUUGUUCAUGUGUCUGUCCCCAAGAGGCGAACAUCGCUUAGAGAUAACUGACAGUUCAUUAAUUAAGGCAGUCGUUUUAAGCCGUUACAUCACUGCUAAAAACUAUACUCGCUGGUCUGAGGAACGGUUUAACCACCCGGACUGUAAAACAAAUUAUUGAGAGGCAAAUUCACUUUAUCGAUUGCACAAAUCAAACAGGAAGGUCUUAGUUUGAAUUGACGACAUUGAAAAUAAUUCCAUUACGCGAGUCGAUCAGUACGUUCUGCAAGUGUCAUAGUUCUAGAACGAAUAGUUGUCCAACGGAUGAAUAACCUAGCUCGCCGGGAGAAUAAAGUCUCAUUCGCUUCACUGUAGCGAGGGACAAGGUCGCGAAGUAAUUCGUCAGUGGUCGUUGAUUUCCGAGGACCGCCAGAAACCAGCAUCGUCGAAAGCUUCCUACGGAGUUCUUUUCCGCGGUCGCGGUCGUGCGCAGUUCGUACGAUGACGACGACGCUUGUAGAGUUCUGCGGAGCUUUCCUGUACAAGACAUGCACGGUUCAAUUUGUGUGGAAGCGAGUAGCGCAUAUAACAAUGACCUCGCGGAUUAACUUCAAUCAGCGAAACUUCAGACGUCUAACCCCGUUGAGCUGGCCAGCUUUGCUGAACGGAUGUACGACGCGGGCAAGACGCAUAGACGAGAACACGAUGGUACUGAGAAUUAGGAAGCACAACGAUUCGUUUGCCAGUCGGCGAGCGGCAGGAUGUGUGUCGCUUCAGCACAGCUUCGGUUCUGCAUCUCCGAUAUUAGUUUAACUCGUCGAUUCUCUGGGACUAAACAACGUUAUGAUCAACCACCUCGAAAUUUAAAGCUUGCUGCCUGAGAACACUCUAGCAGUUCACUUGACAAAAAGAACGAAUAUCGUAAAUCGUCGUUUCUUUCGCAAUCUCGAUACUAUUUCUAUUCAAAUACAUUUUUGUAUAAUUCUGAAGAAGCUCUUAUAACGACCAAGAAUUACUCCACGUUCAUCGUUGAACCAACUGGCACGUGGCUCUAAUAACGUCAUCCGGAAACGCACCGCUUUUCCACAUUUACCACUUGUUCGUUCUGCGAUUGACCUGAGGAAGGGGUUCGAUGAUUUUCAUUGGAAGCUUUGGAACGAAAAUAUAAGCCGAGAAGGCAGAGAUAACCUUUUUGCAAAAUAAUUAAUCCACGUGGCAAACAGGCGUCUUUUACGACGCGACAGCUCGUUAAGUCGAGGUAAACGUCGCCAUCAUCCUCGCAGAUAGCAAAGAUUCGAGCGUGGCCGUAAAAAUAGAGUGUAGACUUACACGAUCCCGUACAAGUUUGAUCACGUUUGGUCAGUUUUUGUUGGGAAAAGACUACGAAUCCGGUAUUAAUCGAAAUUCGAAUUCAGUAGGCGACCAAAUACGGAACGAUUUUACGAGGUAAGCCGAGUCACAUUUUGCUCAUCAGCACUGAGUGGUUCCAAUUGACGGUCGGGUCGACCCUCCAGCGUAGACACUAUUGGUCAGCCUUUUAAUACCGGCGGUCGCGAUUGGAUCAGAUACCCAGAUCGUUCUUAGACACAAGACAUUGCUGGAGCAUUCGGUUCAAAACUUUUGACGUCGUCAGUGUCGCACAAUUUACUGUCCGCCGUUGUUCACAAGGGUCUGACUGAGAUCCAAAAGACAUCCGCCUGUCCGGUUCGUCUCAGUCGGUUUAAGUCGGUCAGCGGUAGAACUGAGCGCGCAACGAUAAUUAACUAGAACAAUACGAGGGAAGCAACUGUAUCAGGAAGCUCAAGUGUUUGGUUCCUUCCGCAGUUGGUUCUGAAUCAAGAUUCACCAUUAUCAACAGAGGAUUCGUCGCAUACUUGACAAUUCGCAAAUAAAGGAAUACUUUCUUCGUUUGUGAAUCGACAAUUUUCCAACGUCAGUGUUCUACGAAGCAAGAGCAAGUCAUUGUUAUCAGAUAUAACUGCGCAUUCCCUAAGUUCAACGCUGGAAACAGAAAUUCUUCAUAAUAUCAAAAAUCGAAAUUAGCUCGUGAAUGGCUCAAAUUUAUUGGCUGUUGCUUUUUGAAAGAUCUUAAUCGUUCUAUUUGCGGCUAAUGCAUAACAAAUAAAAAAGGAUCGCAAGUGGAAGGAAGCAGUAGGCAAAAAUCAAACGGAAGGUUCCUGGUCUUAGCAUCUGGUCAAGAAACAUUAUUUCUGGGUGACCUCUUCGAGAGACUCGUCUUUUCUCACGUGGAGGAGACUUUGGUGAAUAUCGAGGAACAACACAUUUCCCAUUUGGUUUUACUCCACGAAGCCUCGUCUUUUCCUCCUGAAUCAAGUUUAUCUUUCGAACGGCACCAUGGAACGAAGGAUUCUGAAAAUGUGGUGACGACGUGAUAGGCGAAGGCCUUCGAUUACCAAGACACUAUCAAGUGGUGUGAGCCAUAGUCGUUAGAAAGCAACUCAAGACGUAUCUUCCGUGUCCAGUGACACUAGCUGAGACCAACAGUCCCAUUUAACGUAAUAAUAACGAAACGAAUCUUUGUCAGAGAUCUUUUCAACGAAACCAAGUUCUUUCCAAACUACAUCCGACUCCAAGUCCUGUUCGAACGAGCUAAAGAAG